AAGAAAGAUGACAAGCACAUCCUCCGGCGGUCUUCAUGUUUUCAAACGUGCUGUAGUCCACUGAUCCACACGCACAGUAUCAAUCGUGUUAUUGUUGCUCAAGUUGCCCGUCUUCAAACGGCACAUAUGCUGCAGGUCUACUUUACGCUGGGCACUCUGGUGGUGGCGACGCUGGCGCUGGGCACUCCGGCAGUGGCGACGUUGGAGGUUGCGAUGCUGGGUGUCCCGGCAGUGGCGACGCAGGCGCUGGGCACUCCAGUGCCAAUAAUUUUGGAGAUUUGUAUCUUGUCCUGACUUAUUACGCUCCAGUGGAACGUCUGCCGAUGUGUCUUCUGAUUGAGGCGUUAUGGCUGCGGUGGAGUUUGUUUGUGGUAGUUUCUUUUAAAAAGCCACAGUUGAAUAUCAAAGUGAAUAUCAGUUUGUUUUUUACUUUCAGAAUAAAAGGGUGCUCUCUAAUUUGGCACUGGAUUAAAAGAGCAGUGCAUCUGACUCAUUGGUUUUAUUGCAUAUUGAAGCAUUUAAGUACAAUACAGAAACCUGGACCCCAUAUGGCAUUUGGAAAUUAAGUGGAACUAAAUUUAGGACAAAGUGACAAAGACACUUUUCACACAGAGACUGGGGGUAUGAAUGGGUCUCCUAGUCAUGUUGUUCAGGCAGAAUCCUUUAAGAUCCAAUCUGACUACAUUUUUAAAUCAAUCAGCUACUCGGAACUGGACGAGAUUAGAAGGGAUGAAUGGCCUUCUCUCAUUCGUAAAUGUUCUUAUCUUUUAAGUCUCUCAUUUGAAAUUCACGCAGUCUGCUUAUUCCUUUUAAAAACUAAAAGAAACAUAAUAACUUAAAUGACUUAUUGAAAUGUCUUGAUUCAUAUAAUUAUGUUAUUGGGUGGUUGUGUACUCUCCCCCCGAUUGAUAAGUGUGAAGGACCCCCUUUGGUCCCAUUAAGAGAAUGUGCUGAUCGUGCACGUACAGGAUUAGACAUUAACCUGGCGGUGUCAAUGAUUACUUACCGCAGGUCAUGUAGG